GGAAGUUUUUAGAAUAGUCCCUGGCACCAGAUAUGUCUCCUACAUUAUUACCCUCUUGGAGCCUGUAAAAUGGGGUGUCCUCACCUAAUUCUCAGGUCGUUCUGAAGGACAAAUGAGCCGAUAGAAGCGAAGCACCUGUCAGAUGCCUGGUGCACAAGAGAUGCUCACAAAUGUUCCCCAACCAGGGAUCAAAACUGCAUUGGAAGCCAAAGUGUUAACCACUGACCCACCAGGGAAGCCCCCUAUGGAUUACCACUUAUGGGAGACAUAGCAGAGACGGAUGCCUUCUCCUUCCACUCUGACCCUGAGCCCUGGAUGCAGGUACUGCCCAGCUGUCCCGAGCCGGCUCCUCUGAGUGAGUCAGCCCUGGAAACAGGUUCUACAGAGCCAGUGUCGUGACAACAUAGACAAGUCAUGAAACUGACUUCAGAGUUAGUGCUUUUAGAAAUGACGGGUGACCUCUGCUA
ensembl:lncRNA